AAAUAAUCGUCCAGAACCCCUGGAAAAAGAUUCUUAUCACCUUUAUACCCGCCACUGUCCCGUUCCAUGUAGAUAUGACUCGUAGACUAGCCGUCAGCGCUUCGAAACUUCUUACGAUCAGUUAUUCUUAAUCCUGAUGAUAUAUGCUUUGAGAUUGCUACAUGAUUAUUGAUAUUGAUGUACAUAUAUAGUUACUUUUAUAACACUUUACCGUGUUGGAAUCGAUAGUGUUUAAAUGCGCGCUAUGUGCAAUUCGUCAUUGGUAUGUGGUAAAACACGAUACAUAUUUGUAGAUGUAUUUAUUAGUAAUGAGAUUAAAUGUUUUAAUUGAAUAUCGAGUAAUUAAAUCGAUACCGAAUUGUACGACUCGUAUCGAUUGUAAUGCAAGUAUUAGAUUCAUAAUUAAAUUUUUGUAUGAAUUUUGAUAUGGAAGAUGUGGCCUUUCUCAAAGAAUGAAUUGAAAAGAUAGAGUAAAAUGUUGUAGUGUGUAUCUUUCGUUUUAAAGGACUCGGGCUUGAAACUGCGAAGAUGUGUGAAUUUAAUUAUAAAAUAAGUAUUACAUUCAAACUAUCUAAAUGCAUCUUACCCUAAAACAAUUGGCUCCUAAUUUCUACGAUUUGAAAAAUAAUAAUAUAUUAUUAACAACGUAACGAAACUGCGUGGGAAAGAAAUAAUGGGCCGAUUCAAAAUCCGCGUAAUAACGCAAGAUCGCGAGGGAUCGGCUUUUUAAACCUGGCAACGCUGUGUAGCCGCGCGCGCACCGGACUUCUCUAGACCGCAUGACGCCAGGGUCGAAAUUAAAGACGCGGCUUCGAAAGGUAGAGGUAGGGGGCCCCCGACGACGAAGUUGUGGAAAGCAAAAAGGACGAAAAGAAGGGAUCGGAAUCGCUCGAUAAAACAGGGCGACGUUGGAAGCACCGAUAGGCCCCGAACGAUUCUCCAUUGGGAGAAACAUUGCGACGCGGGGAGAAGGGAGGAACGAGUACGUACACACAAUGGGGUCCAAGAAGAGGAGCCGAGAGCAAAAGCGGUGAAUUAAUUGUCGCUCGCGCCGCCGACGAAGCCGCCACGAUCCGCAAGCCUGAUUUGUGAGCCGCACGCGUGUAUAUCGUAUGUGUAUCUACCCGUUCCUUUCCUCCGCUCUUUCCCCCUCACCCUCUCUUUCUCACUGGUUCUUUCGUUUUCUCUUUCGUUGCACGCUCUCUUCCCUUUCCAUUUCUUUCAUUCUUCACUGGUUGAUCGUCUCCGGCGUGCAACAAGGAGACCCGUGUACAGGUUAUACGCGACCAUGGUGGAGACUGACAAUGGAAACAAGCCCAACGAAGCCAGGAGGUGCUCGUUAAUUGAUGGCACCGGCUAUGGUCGAGCGCAGGAAGCGGUAGAGAGGGAGAAAAAUCGAGGUGGGCCCACGAAGAAGGGGACCAUGAGACCACCAUCGCCUUAUUUAUAACGCCGGGGGUAACCGAAUUCACGAUCAAAAUCCCGCGUUCCGCGGCAUUGAUGGAUCGCCACCGUUGUGCGCCGCGUUGCGGCAGCGCUGGUAUUUUCAAAUGAACCCGCCCUUUUUCCUCGUGCGUUCAGCCAUGGUUCAGCCCUCGCCAUCAUCCGCCGGCUAGUCGGAAGAUUCCCUCCGAAACGAGGCAUCAUCGAAUUCUCCCGACUAAACCGAGCCACAAACACGUCGGACCUUUUGAUUUCUAUAUGCAGCUGCCUUUCAUCGAUCAUGGAAGCUCCGUCGACCCGCACAAUGAGAUGUUGAAAUAUGUGUUACCGUUGCGUUGAUUUAUUCGUCUCACCCUUCUGUAGCCGACCUCGCGCACCACCAAAUCUCGACGUUUACGACUUUAUCUUGUAAUAACUUAGAUUUACCUUGUCAAAGUUGUUACAGCGGAAUUAUAUUUUGUACGAGACAGAAAAUGCGAAAAUUUCUAUACGUGUUUGCAAACUUUCUUCGCUUUUCAAUACUUUAAAAUUUAUUCGCAUUUCAACUAUAAAUAUUUUAUAAUCCAAAUGCGAUUGUAAAUGCCUGCAUUUUUAAGCGACAUUUGAUUCGAAAAAUUAUAAUUUUACAUAGGAGAAUAAAGACAAAUUUCUGUACCGAUAUCAUAUAAACAUAUUUAAACGAUUAAAACUUAUUUAAAAAAUAUAGAAAUUAUUAUAUAUAAGGUUAUAUUUUAUUACAUUACGAACAGUUAUGUGGUAAAAUAGUACUUUACCAUAUUAUAUGUUAUAUAAUUCCAUCAAAAUGAAAUCUCAUCAAUAUUAAUAUCAAAUAUAUUUCUCAAAGGAAAGACAAGCUAUUCUGUGUACAUAUAUUCUAUGUUAUUAAUUUUCGCAUUUCAACAUUGUAAAAUGAUGAUUUCA